rnacentral:snRNA from 1 species
AUCGCUUCUCGGCCUUUUGGCUAAGAUCAAGUGUAAAAUUUGCAUUUAAAUAUUUAAAACCUAUAUUUUACCAUACAGAUUUUUA